rnacentral:rRNA from 1 species
AUCGGUGCUUGCACUGAUCCGAUCGAGUGGCGGACGGGUGAGUAACGCGUGGGUAACCUGCCUCAUACAGGGGAAUAACAGUUGGAAACGGCUGCUAAAACCGCAUAAGCGCACAGCUUCGCAUGAAGCAGUGUGAAAAACUCCGGUGGUACAAGAUGGACCCGCGUCUGAUUAGCUGGUUGGUGAGGUAACGGCCCACCAAGGCGACGAUCAGUAGCCGGCCUGAGAGGGUGAACGGCCACAUUGGGACUGAGACACGGCCCAAACUCC